rnacentral:rRNA from 1 species
CUCGUAGGCGGCCAACUAAGUCGGACGUGAAAUCCCUCGGCUCAACCGAGGAACUGCGUCCGAUACUGGAUGGCUUGAGUUCGGGAGAGGGAUGCGGAAUUCCAGGUGUAGCAGUGAAAUGCGUAGAUAUCUGGAGGAACACCGGUGGCGAAGGCGGCAUCCUGGACCGACACUGACGCUGAGUGAGCGAAAGCCAGGGGGCAAACG